GACGGAGGGCGCAAGCGUUGUUCGGAAUCACUGGGCAUAAAGAGCACGUAGGCUGUUAGUUAAGUCUGAUGUGAAAGCCCCCGGCCCAACCGGGGAACUGCAUUCGAUACUGGCUGACUAGAGGACAGGAGGGGUGAGUGGAACUCCAGGUGGAACGGUGAAAUGUGUAGAUAUCUGGAGGAACACCGGUGGCGAAAGCGGCUCACUGGCCUGUCUCUGACGCUGAGGUGCGAAAGCUAGGGGAGCGAACGGG
rnacentral:misc_RNA from 1 species